UACGUAGGGGGCAAGCGUUGUCCGGAAUCAUUGGGCGUAAAGAGCGUGUAGGCGGCCUGGUAAGUCCGCUGUGAAAGUCCAGGGCUCAACCCUGGAAUGCCGGUGGAAACUGUCAGGCUCGAGUCCGGAAGAGGCGAGUGGAAUUCCUGGUGUAGCGGUGAAAUGCGCAGAUAUCAGGAGGAACACCAAUGGCGAAGGCAGUGUCCUGGGAAGUACCUGACGCUCGAGGUGCGAAAGCUAGGGAGCGAACAGG
rnacentral:rRNA from 1 species